GACGGGCCCGCACAAGCAGCGGAGCGUGUGGUUUAAUUCGAUGUUACACGAAGAACCUUACCAGGGUUUGCAUGCAAGUGGUAGGAAGCCGAAAGGUGACCGACCCUUCGGGGAGCUUGCACAGGUGCUGCAUGGCUGUCGUCAGCUCGUGUCGUGAGAUGUUCGGUUAAGUCCGCUAACGAGCGCAACCCUCGCUGUGUGUUAUAUGUGUCACACGGGACUGCCGGUCUUAAGCCGGAGGAAGGUGGGGAUGAUGUCAAGUCAGCAUGGCCUUUAUAUCCUGGGCUACACACACGCUACAAUGGCCAACACAAUAGGUUGCUAAGCCGCGAGGUGGCGCCAAUCCAUAAAGUUGGUCUCAGUUCAGAUUGUAGGCUGCAACCCGCCUGCAUGAAGAUGGAGUUGCUAGUAACCGCAGGUCAGCUAUACUGCGGUGAAUACGUUCCCGGGGCUU
rnacentral:rRNA from 1 species